rnacentral:sRNA from 1 species
GCACCUUGCGGGAGCUCCUCUUCGCCGC